GCGAGCGUUGUCCGGAAUUACUGGGCGUAAAGAGCUCGUAGGUGGUUUGUCGCGUUGUUCGUGAAAUCUCACGGCUUAACUGUGAGCGUGCGGGCGAUACGGGCAGACUAGAGUACUGCAGGGGAGACUGGAAUUCCUGGUGUAGCGGUGGAAUGCGCAGAUAUCAGGAGGAACACCGGUGGCGAAGGCGGGUCUCUGGGCAGUAACUGACGCUGAGGAGCGAAAGCGUGGGGAGCGAACAGGAUUAGAUACCCUGGUAGUCCACGCCGUAAACGGUGGGUACUAGGUGUGGGUUUCCUUCCUUGGGAUCCGUGCCGUAGCUAACGCAUUAAGUACCCCGCCUGGGGAGUACGGCCGCAAGGCUAAAACUCAAAGGAAUUGACGGGGGCCCGCACAAGCGGCGGAGCAUGUGGAUUAAUUCGAUGCAACGCGAAGAACCUUACCUGGGUUUGACAUGCACAGGACGCGUCUAGAGAUAGGCGUUCCCUUGUGGCCUGUGUGCAGGUGGUGCAUGGCUGUCGUCAGCUCGUGUCGUGAGAUGUUGGGUUAAGUCCCGCAACGAGCGCAACCCUUGUCUCAUGUUGCCAGCACGUAAUGGUGGGGACUCGUGAGAGACUGCCGGGGUCAACUCGGAGGAAGGUGGGGAUGACGUCAAGUCAUCAUGCCCCUUAUGUCCAGGGCUUCACACAUGCUACAAUGGCCGGUACAAAGGGCUGCGAUGCCGCGAGGUUAAGCGAAUCCUUAAAAGCCGGUCUCAGUUCGGAUCGGGGUCUGCAACUCGACCCCGUGAAGUCGGAGUCGCUAGUAAUCGCAGAUCAGCAACGCUGCGGUGAAUACGUUCCCGGGCCUUGUACACACCGCCCGUCACGUCAUGAAAGUCGGUAACACCCGAAGCCAGUGGCCUAACCCUCGGGAGGGAGCUGUCGAA
rnacentral:rRNA from 1 species